AAAAAAAUGUGUUGCACUAUUUUAAUAGUUUAGAAUUAUCUGCAUCAACUAAUUAUAGGUAGGUCACAUUCAUUUAAUUAGGAAUCUUUAAAACUAGGAACAUUUUUCACUUUCCUUUUCAUGAGUUGAAGACUUAGUGAUUUCAAAGGUUUUCCUACCUUAACAUCCAAAGACUCUGCUUCUUUUGCCACACAAGGUGCUGCGAAUCCUGCCCCCCGAAGCCAAAAUGUAUUGUGUUACUAAAAAUUGCUAGAGAGACUCUGGGAGCUUCACAGAAAACCCCCAAAUCUUGUCAAAUUUGCAUUGUCUCUUGUUGAUUAUUUUAUUCUUAUUAAUCCAUCAGGAUAUUUGUCCCCACCUACUCACUAAGACAGAGGACCUCAAUCGUCCUUCAACAACAUCUGGAGCUGGGGCUGGAAGAAAUCCCUUGGGGCCUCCAAGCUUGCUGCCCAGGAAAGAAGAACCACAGUUUCCUCUGUGGCUGGCUGGAUCAGCCAACGCUGUCCCUCACUCUGUCCGUAAUGGUCAGUCAGCCAAGGAAAGAGGCCUCGAGACUUUCUCUCUCUGGUUGUCAAGCUUUGACUUCACUCUCAGCAAACAGGCCUUCAACAAACUAGGUUCCUGGCAAACAAGCAUGUGCUCAAACUGA
rnacentral:lncRNA from 1 species